rnacentral:lncRNA from 1 species
GGGGCCUGGGGUUUCUACCCGUGUACCAGGGGCCCUCUGGCCCAGAGCUGACCAAAUCUGGCUCCAUGGAGCACACAGAGGCUUUGAUCAGGGACAGUAAUCCUCUGCAACAUCAGGAAUGGCUGAAUGCACAGGAUUUACCAAGCCUCAGCCAAAGCAUCCCGUGGCCUGAUGUCUCGGAGCAACCCUGUCCACACGUGAGCUCUCCUGCCUCUGAAUCCUAAGAUCCUGUCUGCAUAGCCCUGCAACACCUGCUCCUCUGAGACAUUUCCUUCCUGGGUGCUUGUGCUUCUCAGUUUCCCCCGCCCCAAACUUUAACGGUCCCCACUUCUGGUAGAUCCCUUGGAAACACUGGCUGUGGUGGGUGGCACAGGGUGGCUUACAGACAGUACCCCAUACCCUUCCCAGGAGGAAAGGUCAGGCCUGCUCAACAUGACCAAGAUUGCUCAAGGAGGGCGCAAACUCAGGAAGAGCUGGGGCCCUGCUUGGGUAGUGUUAACUGGUAACAGCCUUGUGUUCUACCGAGAGCGGCCACCGCAGUGUGCACCCUCCCAAGGCUGGGCGCCGGCUGGAAGCAGACCAGAAAGUAGCGUGGACCUGCGCGGGGCGGCCCUGGCCAGCGGGCGCCAGCUGUCCAGCCGCCGGAACGUCCUGCACGUGAGUGCCUUCCAGGCGUCCCCAAAGACAGGGUGA